GACGAACGCUGGCGGCGUGCUUAACACAUGCAAGUCGAACGGAAAGGCCCUGCUUUUGUGGGGUGCUCGAGUGGCGAACGGGUGAGUAACACGUGAGUAACCUGCCCUUGAUUUUGGGAUAACUUCAGGAAACUGGGGCUAAUACCGGAUAGGAGCUCCUGCUGCAUGGUGGGGGUUGGAAAGUUUCGGCGGUUGGGGAUGGACUCGCGGCUUUUCAGCUUGUUGGUGGGGUAGUGGCUUACCAAGGCUUUGACGGGUAGCCGGCCUGAGAGGGUGACCGGCCACAUUGGGACUGGGAUACGGCCCAGACUCCUACGGGGGGCAGCAGUGGGGAAUAUUGCACAAUGGGCGGAAGCCUGAUGCAGCAACGCCGCGUGCGGGAUGACGGCCUUCGGGUUGUAAACCGCUUUCGCCUGUGACGAAGCGUGAGUGACGGUAAUGGGUAAAGAAGCACCGGCUAACUACGUG
rnacentral:rRNA from 1 species